UAAACUAACUGCACUAACUGCAUAACUAAGUGCACUUCUUUUCAGCAGUAGGUAUGAUGUCAUUGUUCUUGAAUAAAACAAAAGGUUAGAGGUUACAGUAGAUUUUGUCCUGAUUGCUGCUGGUUUCAUCCACAGAUGGGGAGGUGGAGUCUGACUGGAGAGCACUUCUCAUGGGUGGUAAACUGAAAAAACAGAGAAAACUACUUGUCCUGAAGAUGUCAGGUGAUUCCUGCCAAUGGUUUCACAUGAUUCCGCUGAUCUACAGGUAGUAAAAUAAUAUUGUGCCAAGAAAUGUAGCAAUGCACUAGCAAAGACAGUGAAGAAGAUGACUGCUAUCAAGUCAAUAUAAUUGUAAACAAUGCAGGGCAUCUUUAAAGGAAUUAACUUCAUAUUGUGCAAUUGUUCAGUAGUGUGCCCUGUAAGUAAUGAAGUGUUCACAGCGAACAUGAACCAAGUUCAAACAACAGAGUCUACAGCUACGGCUCUGUGAGGCUGUUAUUAUAGAUACAAAAUGUCUUACAGCUAAAGGCUAACUUCAGAAUUCUAUCAUGGUCACAAUGACAAAGCUAAAACACUGAUUUUUAGUAUAAUGUUUACCACAUUAAUUUAGUUUAGUCCACACAGUUAGCAUACAAACUUUUGCUUAUUAACACUAAAUAGAAAAUACAGCUGAGGCUGAUGGGAAUUAGUUCUGUAGAUAUUUUGUCAUAAACAAACUUCAUUUCAAUCCACCUAAUAGUUGUUGAAAUAUUUUAGUCUGGACCAAAGUGGUGGCAUCUCUUAAACUACACUAGCAUGUCAAAAUUUGUAAACAGAUUGUAUCCUGUGCUUCACUUUUUGGCCAUAAUCUUUACCUAACCUUAAGAAGUACUCUCAGUUACCAUAAACAUGAAAAUGUCAUGUUUUAGUUGCCAUCAGAUGAUACCGUCGGAAAACUAUUAAAAUGCACUUUGCAAAUACGUUCAGCAUGAAGAUUUUGCUUCCUUUAAUUCUACUAAAACUCUUGUUUUCCUUCUUUAUUUUGAUAAGAGAUGUGAUUUUGGCAGCAUUACAUUUUCCUCACCAAGCUGGACUUCAGCAAAUGUAGAAAAAUUACAAAGACUCUCAGGAGAA